UUCACAUCGGUUACAUAAAGAACAGGACUUGUUGCUAACCAGCUAAAAUCAGCUUGGCGUAACCAAGGAACUACUACAACAACAAUAACAACAACAGACGGUGUUGACUACUACAGCCGAUCGGGGACAAAAAGGAUUCGUCCCAAAUGUCUCCCUAUAUAGGUCACUACUUUUGGAGCCCUGUGGGACCGUGGUCAAAAGUAGUGCCCUACAUAUAGGCAAUAGGGUGGCAUUUGGGACCUGUAAUCCCUAACGUUACCCUGACCUCUCCAUGUCUGCCUGUCUGCGUAAUAGAUUUAGCUAGCUGACUACUCACAAAGUUACACACUGCUUUGGCUCUUGACCAGAUGCAAUGGGAGGACAGCGGGGAUCAUGGAAGGACCAGCAAGAGGAGAAGACUAAAGAAAUCAUCCUGAGAGAAACUCAACGUGACCGUUAACAGAAGUCCAUUUAUGUAGCAGAGAACCUUGUUUCUCGCCUCCAAAAUGACGAUCCGUUUCAAUCUGUUCAGUACGCCUACCAGCAGGACUGACACGCUGAGGAAUAACACAGCCCAUGUUCCUGAACACUGAUACUAGGAGUUGGAUUAAAUGUUUUAAUCUGAAAUGAAGGUUCGCAUCUAAAAACUCACAGGUUUGGAUGGAACCAAAGUGAAGAAGGUGACCAAGUUCAAGGUGGAGAGGUAGGUGGCCAUCAAAGCAGAGGGUCGUGGAGGUUAAAGCCAUCAAAGCGGAGGGUCGUGGAGUUGUUGACACUACAGUGGCUGUGUCACUACAGGUCAAAUACCUGUGGCUGGCAAGGGAGCGAAGACGGGAGAGGAACCAAAGAGUAAAAGCAAGAGGUGCCUUUUGAAGUUCAUCCCAGUCGAGGGCCAGAGAAGUAGGUGCCAGCCGAGGGCCAGAGAAGUAGGUGCCAGCCGAGGGCCAGAGAAGUAGGUGCCAGCCGAGGGCCAGAGAAGUAGGUGCCAGUCGAGGGCCAGAGAAGUAGGUGCCAGCCGAGGCCUGGUCCUGCUGGUCCAGCUGGGUCUGCUGACCUAUGACCUGUGUGUCAACUCCUUCAGUGAGCUGCUCAGGGCAGGGCCCGUCAUCCAGCUGGUGCUGUUCAUGUACGUACACG
rnacentral:lncRNA from 1 species